GAAACCGCAACCGGUGCCGCCGCUACAUCCUCCUUAGCGUUAGCUGCUACGGCGAGCGCUAGUAGCGCUAGUAAUAGCUGGAAUAGGAGAAAAAGGUUUAUAAAGAACUGAGAAUCUGUCUCGAUUUCAAUCAACUAUUCUAUACUCAAAAG